CCUACGGGUGGCAGCAGUGGGGAAUAUUGCACAAUGGGCGCAAGCCUGAUGCAGCGACGCCGCGUGAGGGAUGACGGCCUUCGGGUUGUAAACCUCUUUCAGCUCCGACGAAGCGAAAGUGACGGUAGGGGCAGAAGAAGCGCCGGCCAACUACGUGCCAGCAGCCGCGGUAAGACGUAGGGCGCAAGCGUUGUCCGGAUUUAUUGGGCGUAAAGAGCUCGUAGGCGGCUGGUCGCGUCGACUGUGAAAACCCACGGCUCAACUGUGUGGUCUGCAGUCGAUACGGGCUGGCUGGAGUUCGGUAGGGGAGACUGGAAUUCCUGGUGUAGCGGUGAAAUGCGCAGAUAUCAGGAGGAACACCGGUGGCGAAGGCGGGUCUCUGGGCCGAUACUGACGCUGAGGAGCGAAAGCGUGGGGAGCGAACAGGAUUAGAUACCCCG
rnacentral:rRNA from 1 species